GACGAACGCUGGCGGCGUGCUUAACACAUGCAAGUCGAACGGAAAGGCGCUGCUUUUGUGGGGUGCUCGAGUGGCGAACGGGUGAGUAACACGUGAGUAGCCUGCCCUUGACUUUGGGAUAACUUCAGGAAACUGGGGCUAAUACCGGAUAGGAUAUCCUGCUGCAUGGGGGGGGUUGGAAAGUUUCGGCGGUUGGGGAUGGACUCGCGGCUUAUCAGCUUGUUGGUGGGGUAGGGGCUUACCAAGGCUUUGAAGGGUAGCCGGCCUGAGCGGGUGACCGGCCACAUUGGGACUGAGAUACGCCCCAGACUCCUACGGGCGGCAGCAGUGGGGAAUCUUGCACAAUGGGCGGAAGCCUGAUGCAGCAACGCCGCGUGCGGGAUGACGGCCUUUGGGUUGUAAACCGAUUUCGCCUGUGACGAAGCGUGAGUGACGGUAAUGGGUAAAGAAGCACCGGCUAACUACGUG
rnacentral:rRNA from 1 species